rnacentral:rRNA from 1 species
GAUGAACGCUGGCGGCGUGCCUAAUACAUGCAAGUCGAGCGAACAGACGAGGAGCUUGCUCCUCUGACGUUAGCGGCGGACGGGUGAGUAACACGUGGAUAACCUACCUAUAAGACUGGGAUAACUUCGGGAAACCGGAGCUAAUACCGGAUAAUAUAUUGAACCGCAUGGUUCAAUAGUGAAAGACGGUUUUGCUGUCACUUAUAGAUGGAUCCGCGCCGCAUUAGCUAGUUGGUAAGGUAACGGCUUACCAAGGCAACGAUGCGUAGCCGACCUGAGAGGGUAAUCGGCCACACUGGAACUGAGACACGGUCCAGACUCCUACGGGAGGCAGCAGUAGGGAAUCUUCCGCAAUGGGCGAAAGCCUGACGGAGCAACGCCACGUGAGUGAUGAAGGUCUUCGGAUCGUAAAACUCUGUUAUUAGGGAAGAACAAAUGUGUAAGUAACUAUGCACGUCUUGACGGUACCUAAUCAGAAAGCCACGGCUAACUACGUG